CCACUGGGGUGGACAUCAUCUGCACCUUCCACUCUGACCCCCGCUGGUCCUGGGCUGGACAGAGAGUGACUCUACUGGGAGCCGCGCCAUGAGACCCAGCGUGUCACCCACCUGGGCUCCCUCACCCUGGACGGGGACAGCCUCUACGUCAGUGAUUACACCUAUGGAGCUGCAGCCCCGACUACCACCAGCUUGCUCAUCCCUCUACUCACACAGUCUCCCCUCCCCUCACUCUCAUUUAUGCUUCACCUGUGAAUGGUGGUCCUGGCACA